GACGAACGCUGGCGGCGUGCUUAACACAUGCAAGUCGAACGGACAGGCCCUGCUCUUGCGGGGUGCUCGAGUGGCGCACGGGUGUGUAACACGCGAGUAAACCGCACCUGUCUUUGGGAUAACUUCAGGAAAAUGGGGCUAAUACCGGAUAGGAGCUCCUGCAGCACGGUGGGGGUUGGUAAGUUUCGGCGGUUGGGGAUCGAAUCGCAGCUUAUCCGCUUGAUGGUGAGGUAGUGACUUACCAAGGCUUUGACGGGUAGCCGGCCUGUGAAGGUGACCGGGCACAUUGGGACUGAGGUACGGCCCAGACGCGUACGGGAGGCAGCAGGGGGGAGUAUGGCGCAGUGGGCGGGAGCCUGAUGCAGCAACGCCGCGUGCGGAAUGACGGCCUUCUGGUUAUAAACCGCUGUCGCCUGUGACGAAGCGAGAGUGACGGUAAUUGGUAAAGAAGCACCGGCUAACUACGUG
rnacentral:rRNA from 1 species